AUGGCUCAGGAUGAACGCUAGCGGCAGGCUUAACACAUGCAAGGUCGAGGGGCAUCGGGAGUAGCAAUACUUGCCGGCGACCGGCGCAAGGGUGCGUAACGCGUGAGCAACAUGCCCGUAUCAGGGGGAUAAUCCAUGGAAACGUGGUCUAAUACCCCAUAGUAAUUAUGUAAGGCAUCUUGUAUAAUUUAAAGCUUUGGUGGAUACGGAUUGGCUCGCGUGACAUUAGCUGGAUGGUAAGGUAACGGCUUACCAUGGCUACGAUGUCUAGGGGUUCUGAGAGGAAGGUCCCCCCACACUGGAACUGAGACACGGUCCAGACUCCUACGGGAGGCAGCAGUGAGGAAUAUUGGACAAUGGAUGGAAAUCUGAUCCAGCCAUGCCGCGUGCAGGGAAAGACGGCCCUAUGGGUUGUAAACUGCUUUUGUAUGGGAGCAAUAAGGGCUACGUGUAGUCCGAUGAGAGUACCAUACGAAUAAGCACCGGCUAACUCCGUGCCAGCCGCUGC
rnacentral:rRNA from 1 species